GUGUCCUGAUGAGUAACGUAAAGUUCAAGUAGGUAUUUGCGAUUUUACUCACGCAACGGUGUCCUCCUUUUCUAAUAUUAGAAAGAUCUUGGGUUUUUCAGCAAUAGUUAUAAAGUUCUUCGAAGCUUGAAAUGAAUUGGAAAAAUGGGAGCGAGACCCCUUCGCUUUGGUAAAAUGGAGGGUUGCUUGGUCAAAUGCUCUCACGGCGGCAGCGCUCUUUUGAAAACCCUUAAACCUCUUCAUCCCAAAACCCACAUUCGCUGCUUCUCUGCCCUCCGAUCGCCUCGCAGAGCCUACGACGCAUUGUUGUUGGACGCCGGAGGUACUCUCUUGCAGCUGGCCAACCCCGUCGAAGAGGUCUACGCCUCCAUAGGAACCCAAUACGGUGUGACUGCAACUCCAGCUGAAAUCAAGCAGGGUUUCAGAAGAGCCUUCUCUGCUCCUUGGCCUCAAAAGCUCCGAUACCAGGGAGAUGGGAGGCCAUUUUGGAAACUAGUUGUUUCAGAAGCCACUGGUUGUUCUGAUCUUGAUUAUUUCGAACACGUCUAUCAGUACUAUGCUAGAGGUGAUUCAUGGCGUUUACCCCAUGGAGCUUAUGAAACAAUGGUACUUCUCAAGGAUGCUGGAGUUAAGCUUGCUGUUGUAUCGAAUUUUGACUCCCGCUUAAGGAAACUACUCGAGGAGCUGAAUGUGUUGCAUCUGUUUGAUGCUGUUAUCAUAUCUUCAGAGGUUGGUUCUGAAAAACCAGAUGCAAACAUAUUUAAAGCUGCGUUAGAUCAAACUCAUGCGGAUGCUGGCAAGGCAGUACAUGUCGGUGAUGAUGAAAAUGCAGAUAAGAUUGGGGCCAAUGCUGUUGGAAUUGAUUGCUGGUUAUGGGGCAAGGAGGUGAAGACAUUCUCCGACAUUCGAAAUAGAAUUCUCAUUUCAGAGUCAUAGCUUUCAAAAGGAAUAGGUAUCACACGGAGGACAAACUUCCUGAAUCUAUGUAGUAGAAUAACCUCCAUUGCUUCAGAAGCUUCAUAUAAUAUGAUAAAUUUAAGUCGAUAGAGAAAUAAGUGACAAGGUGGCCAAAAGGAGGGUUAAUUGUUAUUCACUACUAGUCAAUAAUUGCACGAGAAAGAGCUCCACCUCUACUCCAUAUCAGAAAUCUAAAGAGUAAACAGGCAAUCACAGAAUAUGGUAAACCAUUGCUGCACGUGUCAGUAGGAGAAAUAAAACAGCGAGUGAAAAGCAGAUGAGUAUACAUGAGAACCCAUCUCAUGAGAACCCAGUUUUGUUCUUA